AUUGAACGCUGGCGGCAGGCCUAACACAUGCAAGUCGAACGAGUGGCGGACGGGUGAGUAAUGUCUGGGCAACUGCCUGAUGGAGGGGGAUAAAUACUGGAAACGGUCGCUAAUACCGCAUACCAUCAGAUGUGCCCAGAUGGGAUUAGAUUGUUGGUGGGGUAACGGCUAAACAAGGCGACGAUCCCUAGCUGGUCUGAGAGGAUGACCAGCAAGACUGGAACUGCGCAACGGUCCGGACUCCUACGGGAGGCAGCAGUGGGGAAUAUUGCCAAAUGGGCGUAAGCCGGAUGCGCCCAUCCCGCGUGUAUGAGAAAGGCCUUGGGGUUGUAAAGUACUUUCAGCGGGGAGGCGGUACCCGCAGAAGAAGCACCGGCUAACUCCGUGCCAGCCGCCGCGGUAAUAC
rnacentral:rRNA from 1 species